UACGUAGGGGGCAAGCGUUGUCCGGAAUCAUUGGGCGUAAAGCGCGUGUAGGCGGCUCGAUAAGUCUGCUGUGAAAGUCCAGGGCUCAACCCUGGGAUGCCGGUGGAUACUGUCGAGCUCGAGUCCGGAAGAGGCGAGUGGAAUUCCUGGUGUAGCGGUGAAAUGCGCAGAUAUCAGGAGGAACACCAAUGGCGAAGGCAGCUCUCUGGGACGGUACUGACGCUGAGACGCGAAAGCGUGGGGAGCGAACAGG
rnacentral:rRNA from 1 species